UGUCUAUACGAACUCUGAUUUGAGGUCCGAAGGCUGGUUGAAAGCCAGAACUAUUUUUUCUUGCCUUCUAGGUGUUCGGUAAAGAGGCCAUUCCUUAGAUCAAACCUCUUCAAUCCUCUUCUUUUUCCCUUGCAACGGAUUCACACAUUAGCGAUGAAAGAUAGAGAUGUUAUUGAGAAAGCAGUGAGCAGCAAUUUUGUUCUGUCAAUGUUGUACAACAGCUUGAUUUCCAUUUUAGUAAAUGCACGGCAUAAGGGUAUCAGAUGAAUUGAGAGCAGACAUUGAUUGAAUGAAUCGCUAUGUGAGAUCUGACUGAAAUUUUGAUUGUGUUUUUUAUCCAUUUUGUGGGUUAAUAGUGUCAAUACAGAAACACAUUUAAGGUACGGUAUGGUGUUUUGAACGAAUCAAAAUCGGAGUAUAAAAAAAGCUGAGAAAUUAUGUGAAAAGAGCUGAGAAAUCAGACUGACAUUAAGAAGGGACUUUCGAAGGAAAA